GCCCGUGAUGACUGCAAUUUCUUCACUUUGACCUGACGUCUGCUGAAGAAACGCUGUGUCUGAGG